rnacentral:rRNA from 1 species
AAGUCGUAACAAGGUUUCCGUAGGUGAACCUGCGGAAGGAUCAUUAAAAGGUUUGGAGCCUUAGGGCCCCGAUUCCAACCCUCUGUUUACCUUAUAACCGUUGCUUUGGCGGGCCGGGUACCCAUCCCGCCGGCCUUCGGGUUGGAAAGCGCCCGCCAGAGGACCCUUAAAAUCCAACAUACCGGUGCCCUCUGAGUACUUGAGAAUUGAACAAAACUUUCAACAACGGAUCUCUUGGUUCUGGCAUCGAUGAAGAACGCAGCAAAAUGCGAAAAGUAAUGUGAAUUGCAGAAUUCAGUGAAUCAUCGAAUCUUUGAACGCACAUGGCGCCCUCUGGUAUUCCGGGGGGCACGCCUGUCCGAGCGUCAUUUCAACAAUCGAACCCCAGGUUCGGUAUUGGACCCGGUCCCCGGACCCGUCCGCAACCCGUACGGCGGUACCGUCCGGCCCCGAGCGUAGCAGAAAUACGUCGCUCCGGUGCCCGUGACGGGACCUGCCACAGAACCGGAACCCUCCACAGUUUGACCUCGGAUCAGGCGGGGAUACCCGCUGAACUUAAGCAUAUCAAUAAGCGGAGGAAAAGAAACCAACGGGGAUUGCCCCAGUAACGGCGAGUGAAGCGGCAGCAGCUCAAAUUUUAAAUCUGGCACCCGCCCGAGUUGUAAUUUGCAGAGGAUGCUUCGGGUGACGUCCCGGUCCAAGUCCCUUGGAACUGGGUGCCGCAGAGGGUGAGAGUCCCGUACGCGGCCGGGUACCGACCCCGGUGAAGCUCCCUCGAAGAGUCGAGUUGUUUGGGAAUGCAGCUCUAAGUGGGAGGUAAAUUCCUUCUAAGGCUAAAUACCGGCCAGAGACCGAUAGCGCACAAGUAGAGUGAUCGAAAGAUGAAAAGCACUUUGGAAAGAGAGUUAAAAAGUACGUGAAAUUGUUGAAAGGGAAGCGUUUGUGGCCAGACUCGACGGCGGGUGCUCAGCCGGUCUCCGACCGGUGCGCUCACCCGCCGACGGGCCAGCAUCAGUUCGGCUGGCCGGAUAAAGGCCCGGGGAACGUGGCUCCUCGGAGUGUUACAGCCCCGGGCACAAUGCGGCCUCCCGGACUGAGGUAGGCGUCCGCACGGAUGCUGGCGUAAUGGCCGCCAACGGCC